GAUGAACGCUAGCUACAGGCUUAACACAUGCAAGUCGAGGGGAAACGACAUCGAAAGCUUGCUUUUGAUGGGCGUCGACCGGCGCACGGGUGGGUAACGCGUAUCCAACCUGCCCAUCACUUGGGAAUAACCUUGCGAAAGUAAGACUAAUACCCAAUGAUAUCCCACGAAGGCAUCGGAAUGGGAUUAAAGAUUUAUCGGUGAUGGAUGGGGAUGCGUCUGAUUAGCUUGUUGGCGGGGUAACGGCCCACCAAGGCAACGAUCAGCAGGGGUUCUGAGAGGAAGGUCCCCCACAUUGGAACUGAGACACGGUCCAAACUCCUACGGGAGGCAGCAGUGAGGAAUAUUGGUCAAUGGGCGAGAGCCUGAACCAGCCAAGUAGCGUGCAGGAAGACGGCCCUAUGGGUUGUAAACUGCUUUUAUAAGGGAAUAAAGUGGGUCACGUGUGACUUUUUGCAUGUACCUUAUGAAUAAGGACCGGCUAAUUCCGUG
rnacentral:rRNA from 1 species